GACGAACGCUGGCGGCGUGCUUAACACAUGCCAGUCGAACGGUGAAGCGCCUUCCUUUUUGGUGGGUGUGGAUGAGUGGCGAACGGGUGAGUAACACGUGAGUAACCUGCCCCCUUCUUCUGGAUAACCGCAUGAAAGUGUGGCUAAUACGGGAUAUUCUGGGUCUGUCGCAUGAUGGGUCUGGGAAAGAUAUUGUUUCGGUGGGGGAUGGGCUCGCGGCCUAUCAGCUUGUUGGUGGGGUGAUGGCCUACCAAGGCGGUGACGGGUAGCCGGCCUGAGAGGGUGGACGGUCACACUGGGACUGAGACACGGCCCAGACUCCUACGGGAGGCAGCAGUGGGGAAUAUUGCACAAUGGGCGCAAGCCUGAUGCAGCGACGCCGCGUGAGGGAUGGAGGCCUUCGGGUUGUGAACCUCUUUCGCCAGUGAAGCAGGCCUGCCUCGUUUGUGGGUGGGUUGACGGUAGCUGGAUAAGAAGCGCCGGCUAACUACGU
rnacentral:rRNA from 1 species